UACGUAGGGUGCAAGCGUUUAAUCGGAAUUACUGGGCGUAAAGCGUGCGCAGGCGGUGAUGUAAGACAGUUGUGAAUCCCCGGGCUCAACCUGGGAACUGCAUCUGUGACUGCAUCGCUGGAGUGCGGCAGAGGGGGAUGGGAAUUCCGCGUGUAGCAGUGAAAUGCGUAGAUAUGCGGAGGAACACCGAUGGCGAAGGCAAUC
rnacentral:rRNA from 1 species